GUCUGUAGCCAUGCCACCCUGCACGUGCCCGAUCUCAUCUGAUCUUGGAAGCUAGGCAGGCUCGGGCCUGGUUAGUACUUGGAUAGACCACCUAAGAAUACCAGGUGCUAUAGAUG
ensembl:rRNA 5S_rRNA 5S ribosomal RNA